UUGUCCGGAUUUACUGGGUGUAAAGGGCGUGCAGCCGGGUCUGCAAGUCAGAUGUGAAAUCCAUGGGCUCAACCCAUGGACUGCAUUUGAAACUGUAGAUCUUGAGUGUCGGAGGGGCAAUCGGAAUUCCUAGUGUAGCGGUGAAAUGCGUAGAUAUUAGGAGGAACACCAGUGGCGAAGGCGGAUUGCUGGACGAUAACUGACGGUGAGGCGCGAAAGUGUGGGGAGCAAACAGGAUUAGAUACCCUGGUAGUCCACACUGUAAACGAUGAAUACUAGGUGUGCGGGGACUGACCCCCUGCGUGCCGCAGUAAACACAAUAAGUAUUCCACCUGGGGAGUACGAUCGCAAGGUUGAAACUCAAAGGAAUUGACGGGGGCCCGUACAAGCGGUGGAUUAUGUGGUUUAAUUCGAAGCAACGCGAAGAA
rnacentral:rRNA from 1 species